rfam:Clostridium sp. CAG:451 genomic scaffold, scf53
UGACUGCUUAGAUGUGAGAGGUUGCCGAUACGCCAGGUUAAGUUGACAAUGGAAAUCGGGUUAUUCGCACGGAGCAAGUCUAUACUAGAUAUAGGCGA